CCUACGGGAGGCAGCAGUUAGGAAUCUUGCGCAAUGGGCGAAAGCCUGACGCAGCAACGCCGCGUGAGGGAUGAAGGCUCUCGGGUUGUAAACCUCUUUCAGCAGGAACGAAAUUGACGGUACCUGCAGAAGAAGCUCCGGCCAACUACGUGCCAGCAGCCGCGGUAAU
rnacentral:rRNA from 1 species